AAGGGACGGGCAGCCUGGUCCCACCAGCUGUUUGACCUCUCCACUCAACCACUCCCCCAGAAGUACACAAGCCCCAUAGCCCUCAGACCUGAGAAAGUGCGUGACCUACAAUCUCUCCUCACACUCAUGCCCCAAAAUGCCCAUCCAUUCUACCGGUCCAUCAUCGACGCCCAAGCAGGUGAUGUCGAUAGCACUCAAGAUGAUGGUGAACACGACAACUUGGAUGAACUGUUGGAGUACGAAUCGUAAAGGCAUUGAGGGGUGGGGGGGAGGGGGGAAGUGUGUAAUAAACAAUGAAAGUUAGUGAUACCUGUAAUAAAGAAAGGGAAAGUUAGUGUUACCUCAAGAUUGUGUGAAGUGAGAAGUGCAAGAUACCAAGACACCAAUAUCAUUGAACAUAGCUGAGUAAAAACUAAAAAAAAAAAAAAAAAAUACGAAUCAAUAAUGGAAAUGUUUAUUUUUUUACAGAUGAUGAUUUUUUUAUUUCCUCUGUUUUAAUGUCAUGUUAUAGGUGUGUUUCAGGGCUUUAAUUUGGUGUAUAUAACUUUACUCUAGCUUUAUUGUACGGCUAUUGACAUUUUCGUUAAAGUUACAAAACUUUGACCUUCAUUUCUGGCGAAUUAUUGAUUUUGGCACUUAGUACUCUUCUGCCGCGGGGGGCCUCAAUUACAGUCACGCAUAGCUCAAUAAAAAGGCAUAUUUCUUUCUCGUCAAUGGCUUGCCUGAACGUGGGGUGAAAGAAGCCGAGAAUCCACAUCCAAAGUGCACACACGGCCGCAGCUUUAGUCACCCGUGAACUGGUGGGUACUUGGAUUCAAUUGACGUCACCCCGCAGCUCCACCCCAAACCGCCCCCUGCGUGUGCUAGUAGCAGUUUUGAAGGCAGAAUGCCUUGACUUGGUAUAUAUAGACUUUGGUUGUGUCAUUUCCUGCCCACUGGUGGACGGGGCAGUAACAGGUGUGGAACGUGUCGCAGCAGUGCACAUGGUCAGAGCUGGUGGACCUGAGGUGGUUGCCCCAUCAUCAUCACUACUCAUAUUAUGCCAAUCAGAAUCACUGUCACUCUACUCAAAAUCACUUUCCAGAGUUACGAGAGAAAUAUCAAGUUCAUGUUCUAAUGCACUGUCGGAAGGUCUAGCACUUGAACAAUCAGUAUGUGAUGAAUUAGCUAUCGGAGUGGACAUAGCCACUGGCCGCACGGACCGACGAGUCGUUUUGAAUGCAGAUGUUCUAUUUUUACACAUCCAUCCACUAAGAAAGCCUCAGACACACUGACUCACUAAUAAAAGUACUCAGGACAAGUGUUGACAUAUUUAGGGAGGAAAAAAUUUGUGAGAAUGGCUAACAUGAGCGAAAUAUAAGCAGAGUGGCGAUCACCGCCACCCAUCCUCUGACAAUUGAGUGGCGAUUGCCGCUCCCCGUCCCGUAGGGGUUAAAUUCAUGAAUUGUCUUUGUGUGGACCACAUCUUUUUCAGGCUGUCCCAGGCCUCCACCACUCUCUGUGGAAAGCUAUUCUUCUUUAUGUCUUCUACAGGCUUCCUUUUUCAUCUUCCUUUCAUGGCCUCUUGAUUCUCUUGUAUCCCAUAUUAUUAGAUCUUCUUGGUCCACUUUUUCCAUCCCACUCAGUACUCUAUAUACCGCAAUCAGAUUGCCUCUCUCCCUCCUCUCUUCCAGUGUCAGUAUGUUCAGCUGUUUCAAUCUCUUGGUAUGUUAACCCCUCAGAGCCGCAAAAGUUUUUCUCGGGUGAUCUCCCAUGACACAAAAGUCAUCGAAAAAUACACUUUGAAACUGAGCAAAAGUUAUAAAAAAAUCCUUUUUUUUUUUUUUUUUUUUCUAGGUUGUUGCAUUUGGCUGGAAUUCCAUGAUUCCUGAAAAAUUCUAAUUUUUUUACUGGUGCGACGUACAGAAAAAAUAUUGAAGAAAAGUUGCUCAUUUUAUCACAAUGGAGUCUGAAAAAUAUAGUUUAUAAUUUUUGACGAGGAAAUUUACUGCCUACAGAGCCAAAGUUGUGGUGAAACUCAAAAAAAUAUUUUUAUGUAGUUUUUCAUUCUGGAAUGAGACUCAUUGAAUAAAAGUUGUAGAAAAUCAUCCGUAUAACUCAACUGUGAAAUCAGAUUAUGAUUUGGACUGACCGUUUGGCUGGAAUUCCAUGAUUCCCAAAAAUUCCAAGUCUUUACUGGUGUAACGUACAAGAAAAUUUAUGUCAGAAAAGUUGCUUAUUUUAUCGCGAUGGAGUCUGAAAAAUAUAGUUUAUAAUCUUUGACCUGGAAAUUCAAUGCCUACAGAGAGACAAAGUUGCAGUGGAACUUGAAAAAAUAAAAGUUGUAGAAAAUCAUCUAUAUAACUCAACUGUGAAAUCAGAUUAUGAUCUGGACAGACUGUUUGUCUGGAAUUCCAUGAUUCCCAAAAAAUUCCAACUUCUGCUUCUCACUCUUUUGAACACUCCUGUGAACAAGAUAUUGGUUCAUCAAGAACAGGGGUUCCCAACCUGGGGUACAUGUACCCCCAGUGGUACAUUUGCACUUUUCAGGGGGUACAUUGGGUCCGAGAGAAUAACCGCUACUGUACAAUACAUCUGCAUUCAAAUUGCACAAUGUCGUGUUUUUGUUUCAAUUUCCUCAUUUUAGUAAGCAAAACUGUUAUUUAAAUUAUAUCAUCAGUCUAUACAUACAGUUUUCAUUACAAAACAAUAUCAAAAUAUUACAAUUUCAUCGUUUUUUUAUCCUUAAUUUUUAGGGGUACACGGGAACCUAUAAAAAUGCCCAAGGGGUACAGAGGAACAAAAAGGUUGGGAUCCCCUGAUCUAGAACAUCAGGUAAAUCAGUGGAGGUGUCAAGACUAUGCUCAGCACGCACACGACAAGCAGAAACUAAAGGAAGACCACAAAAAAAGAUAGUCUGAGGGAAUAUAAUCGCUCUGCAGACGCCAUGAUGCGUAAGGUGGAACUGUAGACUAUUUUUAGCACGGAGUUGUCUAAGGGGCAAAAAAGAGGUGCCAGUUAGUCGCUUAGGAUCGUCAUAUACAUAGUUACGCACUCUGUUCAAUUUCCAGAGAACUUCUCAUUUUCCGGCGCUGGCGUCAUGCUUGUCGCCAUCGUCAGAAAAAAUUAUAUGAUGCCAGCGUCAUAGUCGUUGUUAAGGGGUUAAGUCUCUUAGUCCUGGAACCAGCUUUUUUGCUGCCCUCUGAGUCCUUUCUACUUUCCUUAUAUUUGUCUUUGUACUCGGUGACCACAUACUAUUGCUGCGUAUUCCAAUCUUGAACGUAUCAUGGUUACAAUCAGUUUCUUCAUCAUUUCCUCAUCCAGAUAUUGAAUAAGAACUUUCAUGUUUCUCACUAGGUUGUAUGUCACCUACAUUUCUAUUUAUAUGUUUCUCUGGCGACAAAUUAUCCGAAACAGUUACAGUAAUCCCUCAUCUAUCGCAGGGGUUAGGUUCCAGAACCCCCGCGAUAGGCGAAAAUCCGCGAAGUAGCAACCUUAUAUUUUUAAAAUUAUUUAUAUGUAUUUUAAGGCUUUAUAAACCCUCCCCACACUCUUACAAAUCUUUCCCACACUCCUAUUGACCUUUCCCACACUUAUGGAAAACAGAGCAAACUUAGAUACCAAUGCAGAAUCUGUCGUUCAAAAGAACAUAUAAGACCCUUGUGUCCCUCAGCUGACAAGAAAGAUAAGGCUAAACCUCAAAUUAAGACAAAUAUAAGCUUGUGCCUGGCUCAAAGAAGUUUCGACUCUUGCCAAUUGCUGCCAACGAUGACUUUAACUUUAAAGAAUGGCAGAAAGAGUAGAAAGGUCAGAUGCCUUGUUGAUACCGGAAGCCAAAGAUCAUAUAUUUCGGAAACCGCUGCCAAAGACCUUUGCCCAGAUGUGAAUAAAUUGUUUUCCCUAGAUUGCUAUGUUGGAACCUACAUAACAUUGGUGCAGAAACAAAAAGCUUCAAACAAAUGGCUACAGGGAUUAAAUUAGAAGAUCGAUUCACUUUUGUUCCCUUAUUGGUGGACAAGACCUUGGACAUUACUUUUUACGUUCCAGGGAUGAACGCAUUCAUUUGCAAAUUCAAGGAAAAUAACAUAAAAUUGUUGGAUGAACACUUCUAUGAGGUCAAGAACCAUGAAACUAUCCAAGUUGAUAUGUUGCUAGGCAUUGACAUUUUACAGUCCAUGCCAUCAGUGUCCUGGCAAGAGAAAUUUGGAGGUAAAUGUUUAGUUAUGCACAACAAAGUAGCUCCCAUUGGAAAUGUAUUUAACUUUUUAAGUCCAGCAGAGCAGCAAUUUGUUUUGCGUCUCCUAACAAAAAAGGAUGAGAAAAACCUAUGCCACAAAACUAAAACAAUGGUUAAUGCUGUUUUAGACCCUAUAAAAUCAUAUUUCAACUCACUUGAACACCUUCUAGAGGACACAAGUGGACAAUGGACUGGAACAUCUUUUUAGUCUCGAGUCCUUAGGAAUUAAAACCACUGAUCAAGACUUAGUGUCCCUAGAAAACGAACAAAUAAAGCAGUUUGAAGAUGGUAUUACUUUCAAAGAGGGUCAUUAUAAUGUUGAGUUGCCAUGGUAUUCAAACAAAAUAGAUUCUGUUCCUUCAAAUCAUUCUGUUGCACUUAACGUGUUGGACCGAACUCUGGAACACUUAAAAAGAAAGGGGUUACUAGAAAAGUAUCAAGCUGUAUUUGACCAACAGCUGGCUGACGGCAUAAUAGAAGAAAUUGAAGUAAACCCUUCUCAGUACCAUCAAAGAUACCUCAUAGACCUGUCAUCAAAAUGUGGGAACAAGUAACAACUAAGAUAAGACCUGUGUUCAAUUGUUCUUUAAAAACCAAGAAGGAAUUACCUUCUCUUAAUGAGGCUGCCUACCCAGGUGUAGAUUUAAUGAAUAACAUUCUUCAGUUACUUUUCUAUUUUCGCACCAAUAAAUCAGUCAUGCUCAGUGAUGUAAAACAAGCCUUUUUGAUGAUUAAAUUAAAAAAAUGAAGUAGACCAGAAUAGGUUUUGCUUCUUUUGGAAAAGGGGCAAUAAAUUGGUCACCUACAGGUUCAAGACCAUAGUGUUUGGGUUCACCUCUUCCCCAUUCAUUUUGCACUAUGUGAUGAAACAUCAUGCAAGUUCAUUUCCUGAUGACAAAUUAAGCAAAAUAUUGGCAGAUAAUUUUUAUGUAGAUAAUCUAUUGGUAACAGGAAAGGAAAUUAAAGAAAUGAAGGAAUUAUAUAAUCUGGCAUAUGAGAGAAUGAAGGCAGGCAGGUUUACCUUAAGAUCUUGGAAUUCCAAUUCAACUGAAUUAAGAGAACAGAUGGAAAGUGAUGGAAGAUUAGUAGUACACUCCAGCGAAGAAGAAAAGGUGCUAGGGUACAGAUAUAAUGUUCAGCAGGAUUCCCUGAGCACAGCUCCAUACAAAAUAAAUCCAGAAGCAAACACAAAAAGACAAGUCCUUUCUCAAACUUCCAAACUAUUUGAUCCUUUGAAUUUGGCUCUACCUGUAACCAUAAGAGGAAAAUUAUUAAUGAGAAAAAUAUGGAAACUAGAAGGAGGCUGGGACGAACCCCUUCCUGAAGAGAUCUGUACUGAGAUGAAAAAAUUAAGUAGAGACUUGGAGAUGCUGUCAGAAGUGUCAUUUCCUAGACAAGCUCUAAACGAGCUAAACACAUAUGGGCUACAUACUUUUUGUGACAGUUCCGCUGAAGCGUAUGGCUUUGUUGCCUACGCUCUAGAUGGAGAGGGUAGAAGUACAUACCUACACUCUAAGUCUAAGGUAGCUACAUUAAAUAAGAGAAAUGAACACAGCAUCCCCACUCUAGAGCUCAUGGGUGUGAUAUCAGCUUUCAAAUGCUUACCUACAAUUUUAGAGGCUUAUCAACACAUCCAAAUUCAAUUUAUAAAUAUCUGUGUGGAUGCUCAGGUGGUGCUAAAUUGGCUUCUAACUAAGGAUACUAAAAUAAAAUCCAAAUUCUUGAAAAAUAGUGUUUGAAGCUGAUGGCCUGAAGACUGAAAUAAGUAAGAAAUUCAAGUUACCCAUAGCAUACCACUAUGUACACACUGAAGAGAACCUAGCAGAUAUGCUAACCAAAGGGUUAUCUUAUAGUAAAUAUCUAGAUAAAAUGAAGUUCUAGCUGGAGGGACCACAGUGGCUUACUAAUGAUUACCAACUGUGGCCUCAAUACCCUUUCUUGAGCAUAGCGCCUUCUCAAAAAGGCAAAAUAUGCACUGCUUGUACCUCUCAACCACCUAAAGUAAAUACAGGAGUAAUAAAUAUAAAUAAAUACUCUUCCUUGGAGGGCUUGUUGAGGUGCACAGCUUACCUAUACAAAUUUCUAAAUAAAAUAAAGGAGUGUGAUCUUAAAAAGAAGCCUUAGAGUAUUGGGUAAAGGUGGCUCAAAUUGAGUGCUUCCAGAAUGAACUGAACUUCUUGAACAAUCCAAAUAAUGCAAAUGAAAAAAAUAUUCCUCCUCUGGUAUCUAACCUCAACUUAUUUCUAGAUGAAAGAGGCAUUAUAAGGUCCAAAGGCAGGAUAAGUAAGUGUCAAUACUUCAGUUAUGACAUACAUCACCCUGUGUUACUCCCUAAGGAGCACAGGUUAACUACAUUGAUAAUAAAUGACUCAUAACAAAAUGCAACAUUUAGGCAUUGGAACUACCUUGAAUUAUUUAAGGGAACAAGGGUACUGGAUCCCUAAGGGUAGGAUGGCAGUCAAGAGAACACUAAGCUCUUAUAAUGUAUGUAAAAAGUAUAAUGCCUUGGCAUUUAACCCCAUCGCGCCGGAUGUUCAAAAAGCCCACCUGGCUGAUAUACGGCGUGCUCGGCUGCGCGCGGUGAAACCUGAGCCGGCAUGUAUCUGCUUGUCACCUCCGUACACUAUUCUGCUGAAAGCCCUCAUUACAUGUAUCCUGUAUUUGCAAAGCAGCAUACACGACGAGUCAACAUAUACCUGCUAUGCAUAAUAUAAAUUGCGUCAAUGCGAAAUAAAAAAAAAGUGAAAUAAAGAAAGGGAAGAAAGGGGCAAGGGGGAAAGAAAGAGAGAAAGCAGAUGAUUGUGUAGAGGAGGAAGAAUGUCGAGAAAUUAUCAGCAAAUACAACUCUGUUAUCAUCAGUCAGAGAGCUGCCAGAUACUCCUUUGUCAUCACAGACAAUGUAUGUCUGUACGUGUGUGUGUGUGUGUGUGUGUGUGAGAGAGAGAGAGAGAGAGAGAGAGAGAGAGAGAGAGAGAGAGAGAGAGAGAGAGAGAGAGAGAGAGAGAGAGAGAGAGAGAGAGAGAGAGAGAGAGAGAGAUGGGCGAGACGUGAUGGUGUCGGCGCCUCAGUGUCUGAGAGAGAGAGAGAGAGAGAGAGAGCCAAUGAGACUUCCUAACUUUAGACACAAGGUGGGAAGAAGGCGGUGCAUACUGUUGCUCAUUUUUUGUGAUUAGUGGGAACAAGGAUGGUGGGAGGAGCAAUAGGAUUUCAAGGACAGCAUACGGCGUCUUUACUUAGUAACCAACACAAAGUACGGGACAACUCAAUAGAAGAAGAAACAGAAUAGAAAUAUGACGCCUACGUAGGCGUCAUCGUAUAUGCUACUGGGGCUUCAUGACGCCUACGUAGGCAUCAUCGUAUAUGCUACUGGGGCUUCAUGGCGCCUACGUAGGUGUCAUCGUAUUGAAAGGGUUAAGUACCCAAAAUUCACAGAUAUGCCGAAGCAUCACAUGAACCUAAUUAAACCUUUUCAACAUGUCGGGGUAGAUUAUACUGGCCAUUUAUGGGUCAAAGAUGAACUUAGUGAUCAGUCAGUCAAGGUUUAUGUUUUGGUAUUCACUUGUCUUAAUAUUAAAGCUGUUCACUUUGAAUUAUUACCUGACAUGUCUACAAAGAAUUUUCUGUUGGCCUUUCAUAGAUUUUGUAACCUAUAUUCUAUUCCCCAUUACCUGUACAGUGAUAAUGCCAAAGCCUUCUUAAAAGGUGGCAACAUUUUAGAAAACUCCCUACAAUCCAAAGAAGUUCAAGAAGAACUGGAGAGAAUUAACAUCAAGCAUGUGAGAAUUCCCUUAUAUUCAGCAUGGGUAGGCUCUGCUUGGGAAAGGUUAAUAAGGGUGCUCAAGAAUUGUUUGUAUAAAGUAGUUGGAAGGGCCAAGGUGACAUACUUUGAGAUGUUAACAUCCUUGUCAAGCAUUCAGUUGGCCAUAAAUUCUAGACCCUUGACCUACCGAUCCAGUUCAGAAAGCUUGGAGUUAAUAACACCUAACUCCUUGAAACUUCAUGGGAACCCAUCUCUCGUAUUGAGGGGGGAUGAGGAAGUGUGGGUCGAUGACCAGAGCCAGCCCUCUUUAGAAAAGACUCUUGAAGUGCAAGAAGAAGUAUUAGAAAGCUUUAAAAAGUUGUGGUAUGAGAGUUAUCUACUCAGCUUAAGAGAACAUAGCAGAAACCUAUAUCAGUCAACUUGGGAAAACAAAAUUAAAAUAGGAGAUAUCGUUCUGAUUAAAGCUUUAAAUAAACCCAGACCCUUCUGGUCAAUGGGCACUGUCUUGCAAAUUAUUAAGGGAUUGGAUAAUAAAGUAAGAACAGUCAAGGUCAAACAAGGUAAUGGAGCAGUAGAAUUUCAUUCUAUAUAUAACCUUUAUCCGCUGGAGCUCACUAUAACUCAUCCGGGUAGAGAUUUGGUAUAUGAGCAGGGGGCCUCCCACAAUAAUGUCGACCCCACCCAAAGUGGUGGUUAUCGUGUCGGGGCGCCUUGGCCCAAAAGGAAGGCUACAGAGCGGUUUAACAAAAUGCUUAGGGAUAAUUUAGAUAAUUUGUAAAUAUCUUGGUUGUUUCAGUACUUCACCUACUAAGGCUGAAGACUUUGGAAUUAAUUUUGGGUAGUAGUUAGAAUUAUCAGGGUAAAAAAUAUGCUACACCUUCCAGGGAAGGAUUGAUUAAAAAAAUUGCUACACCUUCCUACAAGGUGAGGAAAGGGUAAGGGCAAGUCUAUUUGGAUGAGAUGUGCAACGAUCUCAACCCCCCUUAGUUGCAUUUCACUCUUUUUCGCUUACUAAGAUUAGUCCCCAUUUCUUAUCUUUAAAUAAAUAAAUAAUUACUCUAGAUGGUUAAUUGCGAUUUGGGGAAUCACAAUCUCCUCUGGGGAAUGUGUUAGGAAUUAGGUCAGUUAACCAGGGGAUUAGACAAAUUAACUAUUUCCCUUAUGGAACUAGUCUCGGGCCAAGAGUUCCAGCCAACUAAAAGUAUUGUCUGAGCUCAAAUAAGCCUUGGAUGGUACUUACAUACUUCACUCAUCGGCUCCCAGACUGAGACAGUAUCACCGUAUUCACUGCCUGAAGACUAAACACAUUUACCAUGAAAGGAAUAACAAUAGUUCAGUGUUUCCUUUCAUGAAAUAAUAAAUAACUGCCCUUGCGGAAUUAAAGAGCAAGGAUAAUUUAACCAAUCGAAAGCCACGCCAUCUGGCGAGGGAAAUUCAAAAUACCUCUUCAGACCCACGUGGUUGGCUUCCGACCCACAACAUAACCCGCUCUCAAGCAUUCAACACCUCAGCGCUUUCGCCCCACAUUAACUCGCGGCAGUGCUAUUUUAUACUUAGUCUCGAGGACUAAAGGACUCCUCUAGGACGAACUUCAACAGACCACUUCUUUUGAAACCCCAAAAAAGUGCCCUCCUACAGUGAUUACAAAUAGGUAUUACUAUCAGGCCUGUUAGGAUUAUCGUUGUAACGCUGGGAGGCGCUUGCAGGAAAAGCCCAGCACCCCUGCUGUAUUAGUGGUAAGUGGUUUGCGUUAUCUUUGUGGAGUUGUCCUGGAGGAGUUAAGUGUCUUGCGAGGAACAUAACCAUUGGGUACGGUAAAUUCACUGUAUCACAACAGGUUAAUCUGGAAACUAAAGCAGUGGGGAGGAAUGAACAGAAAGGUUAUUGAGUGGAUGAAGGAUUACUUAACAGGAAGAGAAAUGAGAAUGGUGAUUAGAGAAGAGAAAUCAAAUUGGAGGAGAGUAGAGAGUGGAGUUCCUGAAGGCUCAGUUCUGGUACCAAUAAUGUUCUUAAUAUAUAUAAAUGAUAUGCUAAAGCAUAUAAAAAGUUAUAUGAGCCUUUUUGCAGAUGAUGCAAAGUUAAUAAGAAAAGUAAGGAUGGAGGAAGACUGUGAAGAACUGCAAAAAGACCUGGAUAGAGUGUAUAGAUGGAGCCAGUUAUGGGAGAUGAAAUUUAAUGCAAACAAAUGCCAUGUUAUGGAAAUGAGGAAAGUAUAAAAAGACCAAGGAAAACAUAUUGGAUGGGAGAAGAAAACUUGGAGGUAGUACAUGAAGAAAAAGAUUUGGGAGUAACGAUGCAAGACACACUAUCCCCAGAAAAGCACAUAAACAAGCUAUUUGGAGAAACCUACAGGGUGAUGCAAAAUAUAAGGGUAUCAUUCCAUUUUAUGGACAAAGAAAUGAUGAAAAUAAUAACAACACUGAUAAGACCAAAACUUGAAUAUGCUGCAGUUGUGUGGUCACCUCACAAAAAGAAGGAUAUCAGAAAGUUCUAAAAAAUACAGAGAAUUGCAACUAAAAUGGUCCCAGAACUCUAAAAUAUAACGUAUGAAAACAGAUUGAAGGAGAUGGACUUGACAACACUGGUACAAAGAAUGGAGAGAGGAGAUCUGAUCACACUGUAUAAGUUGGUAAAUAAGUUUGAUGAGGUGGAUAGAGAUGAUCUCUACUGCGAGAACGCAGGGACUGAGAGGACAUGGAAAGAAACUUAAUAAAGGAACCUGUUUGAGUGACUUGAAAAAGUAUAGUUUUCCACAUAGAAGUGUUACACAUGGAACAGCUUGCAGGAAGAGGUGGUGGAGGUGAGCAGUGUCCAACAAAUGAAGGAAAGGCUGGAUGAAUGAAGAUAUGGAAACGGGACUAUUAGAGCUGAGCUCGGGCCUGGUAGACUACAAAUAGGUAAAUACAAACAAGUGAUACACACACACACACACACACACACACACACACACACACACACAUACACACAAAAUCUAACAGGAAAGGAGGAAGGAUGGAAAGUGUCAUCGUGGAUAGAGUUAAACGACUGUUUGAGAGACAAAGAACCUGAUAUUGUGGGGCUGACGGAAACCAAGUUGUGUGACCCAAUUGAGGUGGUGGGGAUUGGAGAAGGUGCAUACAAUAGAUGGAGGAGAGACAGAAAGAGAAAACAGGGAGGAGGUGUGAUGUUGAUGGUAAGGAAAGGCAUUAAGGUGGAGAAGGUGAUUGAGGGUGAAGGCUUGGCAGAGUUGCUGAAAGUGGAAACUGUGGGUGCUGAAGGAAGAAGGAGGCAGUAUGUAGUAGGGUAUGUGCCACCAAGAACCAAUGCAUGGAAGGCCCGAGAAUAUGAAGUAAUGAUACAAGACACAGUGAGUUGCUUAGAUGGAAUGUUAAGAGAGAGUGAGAGAAUAAUUUUGAUGGGUGAUUUUAAUUGCAAAGAGGUAGAAUGGGAGGAUUGGCAAACGCAGGGAACAGAAGAGUUGUGGGGAGGAAGACUCCUGCACCUGGCAAUGGAACAUGUGCUGAUGCAAUGGAUUAAGGAACAUAAUAGAUUCGGGAAAGGAGAGGCAUCAAGAUUAGAUCUGGUUUUUAGCAAGGAACUGGAAGUAAUAGAAAAUAUUAAAAUAGACUGCCCAAUAGCUAAGAGUGACCAUGCGAUUGUGGAAUUUGAAGUAAAAGAAAAGAGAAGGAUUGACUGAAAAGAGGAUCAUAAAAUAGGGAGAAGAAAUUACUCUAAGGCAGACUUUGUUAAUAUGAGAACUUUUUUUGAGAAUGCAAAUUGGAGUGGGCUGUACAAAGCCAGGAGUACACAAGACAGUUGGGAGGAGUUUUUAAAGCUGUACAAAGAAGCCGAGAAUAGAUAUGUCCCAAAGGUAACCAAAAAGGAUGUUGGUAAAAAGGAGUGGUUUAACAAAAGAUGCGAGGCAGCUAGAAAAAGAAAGGAGGAAGCCUGGAAGGGAUGGAGGAGAUGAGGAAGAAUCAACGCGUGGAACAAUUUCAAACAAGCAAGGAAUGAAUAUACAAAGAUUAGAAGAGAAGAAAAACGGAAAUAUGAAAAAGAUAUAAUCGACAAAUGCAAAGACCAACCUAAACUAUUCUAUAGACAUGUGAACGGCAAAUUAAAGAAUAGAGAAACAAUCGAUAAACUGAAAAUGGAUGGAACUGCAUAUGAAGACCCAGCAGAGAUGGCAGAAGUGAUGAACAACAGCUUUCAAAAAGUUUUCACAAAGGAAGACGAAUUCGUACAACCACCGGGCCAGGAAAGAGGAAGGGUUAUGCAGGAGAUACAGUUAACGGUGCAGGAGGUCAAGGAAAGCUUGAACAAGCUGGAUGUAAGAAAGGCGACAGGGCCGGAUGAAGUAUCAGGGUGGAUCCUGAAAGAAUGUAGUGAGCAACUUGCAGAGAAACUGCACUCAAUAAUGAGCGCCUCCCUGAGUGAAGGAAAGGUACCACAAGAUUGGAAGAGAGCAAACAUAGUACCAAUUUUUAAGGGAGGAAAGAGAGAGGACCCAUUAAAUUACAGACCGGUAUCACUCACUAGUGUGGUUGCAAAGAUAUGCGAGAGGCUGGUUAAAAAAGGUGGUCAGAUUUCUUAGAAAGUGAGAAAAUUAUCUCGGAUUGCCAAUUUGGAUUCAAGAGAGAGUGAUCUUGUGUCACCCAACUUGUUGUGUUAUUACUCAAGGGUGACAGAUUUAAUACAAGAAAGGGAAGGCUGGGGUGAUGGAGUGUACCUGGAUCUGAAAAAGGCAUUUGACAAAGUACCGUGCAGAAGACCAACUUGGAAAAUGAAAAAUAGGGGUGGAGUGGGUGAUGGACUGAUUAAAUGGCUGGAGGACUUCCUAACAGGAAAAUGAGGACGAUAAUCAGGGACAAGGUUUCCAACUGGUGCCCAGUGAUGAGUGGGGUCCCACAAGGUUUGGUGUUGGCGCCAAUAAUGUUUGCUGUUUAUAUAAAUGAUAUGGUGGACGGAGUGACCAGCUAUGUGAGUUUGUUUGCAGAUGAUGCAAAGCUAUUGAGACGAAUGAAUGAUGUGAAGGACUGUGAGGCAUUGCAGAGGGACCUGGAUAAAAUAUAGGAGUGGAGUGGUACGUGGCAGAUGGAAUUCAACCUUGAGAAAAGUAAAAAAAAAAUAGAGUUUGGUAGGAGUGGAAGAAGAUGUGAAUAUGAUUAUAAGAUGGGAAGUGAGAUAAUAUGCAGAGGAGUGGAAGAAAAAGAUUUGGGAGUGACUGUCUCAGAGAACAUGUCACCGGACAAACACAUCAACAGGAUAACGGGACAAACUAUGAAUUUGCUAAGGAACAUAAGGACAGCAUUUGUGUAUUUGGACAAAGAGAUGAUGAAGAAAAUAAUAGUUACAAUGAUAAGGCCAAAGUUGAAGUAUGCAGCAGCAGUCUGGUCUCCUCAUGAAAAGAACAUAAAAAAGCUGGAAAGAGUGCAGAGAGUGGCAACUAAGAUGGUACCGGAACUUAGAGAUCGGACCUAUGAGGAGAGACUCAAUAGCAUGGGGCUCACAACCCUGGAGAGAAGAAGAGAAAGAGGAGACCUGAUAGCGGUGUACAAGGUGGCGAUCGAAGUGGAGCAUUUGGACAGAGAGGACCUGUGUGUGUGAAACGAGAGAGGAAUGAGAGAACAUGGAAAGAAGUUGAGGGUGACCACGUGUAGGCGAGAUGUGAAAAAAGUUCAGCUUCCCAAACAGAAGCAUUGAGCUAUGGAAUAGGCCAGAGGAGAAGGUGGUUUGUGCAAGAAACAUUCAUGAUUUUAAGGAAAAGUUGAAUAAGAGCGGAUAUGGAGACAGGACAGCGCGAGUAUAGCUCUUUUCCCGUAUGUCACAACUAGGUAAAUACAACUAGGUAACUAGGUAAAUACACACACACACACACCAGAGCAGACACAGAGCAAACCAGACGUGUAGCGCGACCGUUCCCCGGGAAUCAUGGUCACCCCACUCCCUGUGCUGGGAUCAGCUAAUCGUUGCCAUCUGGUUACUAGUGUUUACAAAGGCCUGGCUGAUGAUUAUUGUGUUGGGCUUGUCUCCUAUUUUGACCAGUUUGUAAGAUGAGUGGGAGGGAGGAUGAUUUGGAGUGGAUAACACCAAGAAGAAACGGACAUGGAACACGAAGAAAGGAACGAAGGACGGUUAUAGGGAGCAGCGAGGACGAGGGUGAAGAUGAAAGGUACAAGCAUAGGUUUUCUGGAUUUGCGAGUAAAGAAUUGGCUUUACGAAUACAAAAGAAUUUUGCUUAUGGAAAGGAAACUAGACAAAUGGAUUAGAAUAUUCAAGAGCAGAGAUGAAGAAGAAUUAUAAAACAGAGAACUACAAAGGGAUCUCCGAUCACGAGUUCGCAAUUUAGAAGAAGGGGAAAAAACUGGUUCUAGAAAAUGAAGAGCUGAAAGAGAAGUUGGCAAAAUAUGAAAAAAGCAAUGAAGGAAGGCCUAGGAGUGGCAAGAAAGGAAAAUGAAAAUCUGAAAGAAAUAGUGAGCAAGGAGGAAGAGUCAAACAGGAGUGUUGGGUGAAAUGAAGACCUGGAAAGUAGAGCAUGAAAAAACUAAUGUAGACUUCCAGGAAAUAAUUGAAAAGCAACUAAAAGAGGAAAAGGAAAUCGUAGAAAAAGAGGUGGUCAAGGUCAUAAAAAAAAAAGAUUUAGUGAGAUGUAGCGGAUAAGAAAAAGUGUUAUAAUAUUUGGAAUGAAAGAGAAAAACAUAACAUAUAAACCAAAAAGGGAUAAGGAAGAACUUAAGUCAGUGAAGGACUUACUGAAAAACUUGAAUGACAAAGAAAUACAAAACCUUGAGGAGGAGGUGGAAGAGAUUGUUAAGAUGGGCCCUUAUAUAGAAGGUAGAACAAAGCCAGUUAAAUUAAGAUUAAAAGCACAAAAGGUAACUGAGGAAAUAUUGUACAGAACAACUAAACGAAGGGAAAUAGACGAAUGUAAGGAAAUAUAUAUUUAAAGAAAAAUAGAAAUGAAGAAGAAAGGAAGAAAUGGAAUGAAUUGCAAGCAGAGGCAAAAAAGAGAAAUAAUGCCAAAAAAAAAAAAAAAAGUUAUUUUUUUGGAGAGUUCUGAGAGACUGAGUAAAGAAAUGGUAUAUUAGGGAAAAGUCGAAAGAGAACAGAAGCUAGACAAGAUUGAAACAAAAAAGGGACUAAGUGUGAUGUAUACAAAUGUAGACAGGAUAAUAUCUAGAAAACUGGAACUACAAGACUACUUAAAGGAAAAAGAGCCCAAGAUUGUAUGCUUAAUGGAAACAAAGCUGAAUGAGGUCAUUCAAAUAGUGUUUGAUAAUAAUUACAAUGUAUGGAGGAAGGAUAGGAGAGGUAAAGGUGGUGGAGGAGGAGGAUAAUGACGAAGAAGGAGUUAUUAGUGAAAUCAGUAGUAUAUGGAGAAGGAAAGGCGGAAAUAGUGAGUGUUAAUCUAGAUUCUAGAGAAUAAAAACAGAGAAAUGAUGACAAUAAUAGCAACCUAUGUACCACCAAGAGCAAACUCAAAGAACAGAUAAGAAUAUGAGACCAUGAUUGAAGAUACCAUUCAGAGUUUGAGUAGAUUACUCAAAGCAAACAAAAGAGUCUUGUUAGUUGGAGACUUCAAGUGUAAGGAGGUAAAUUGGGAAACAUUUGAAAGUGGAGGUAAUGAAACGGCAUGGGGGGAAAGAUUUCUAAGAUUGACUAUGGAAAACUUGAUGAUGCAGUGGGUGACAGAGAACACAAGAUACAGGAAUGAUGAUGAACCGGUGAGACUGGACCUGGUGCCAACAAAGGGAAUGCACUUGUUAAAUGAAUUUAGAUAUGGGUGUCCCCAUGGAAAGAGUGAUCAUGUGAUCAUAGAGAUGGAAACAGGGGAGGAAGGCACAGAGGGGGACGAAUCAUAUAAAAGAAACAGGAGAAACUAUAGGAAGGCAGACAUGGAAAAUAUUAAGAAAUACUAUGGAGAGCUAAACUUGGAAAAGUUGAAGAGAAAAUGCGAAGUGCAGGAAAAGUAUAUUUUUAUGGAGGCGUAUGAAACAGGAGUCAUGAAAUAUGUCCCAUUAUAUAAACCCAAAGAAAAAGGAAAGAACGAUUGGUUUAAUGCAAGAUGUGCAGAUGCAAAGGAAAAAAGAGACAAAGCGUGGAAGAGAUUGAAAAGAAAUAAGAAUCAAAGGAAUAAAGAAGAUUUUAAGAUAGCAAGAAAUGAAUACGUGAAAAUAAGGAGGGAAAAAGAGAAAGGAUAUGAAAAGGAUAUUGUUGAAAAGUGCAAGGAAGAACCUAAACUGUUUUAUAGAUUCAUAAAUGGAAAAAUUAAACCAAGGAAAAAAGUAGGAAGACUGAAAGAUGGAAAUAAGGUAAUCAAAGAUUCUAAAGACAUGACUGAGCUGUUAAACAAGAGGUUCCAGCAAGUUUUUACAAAAGACUCACUAUUCAAUGAAUCACAAGAUGACAAGAUAAAUGUUCAUAUGGAUGAAGUCAUAGCAACUAAAGAGGAUAUAUAAAAUAAUGGAGGAGCUGGAAGAGAUUAAAGCAGUAGGACCGGAUGGAGUCUCAGGUUUUAUAUUGAAAGAAUGCAGAAAUCAGCUGGUUGGACCAGUAUAAGAUAUAAAGUGCUCAAUAUCAACUGGUAAAUUACCAAAGGAAUGGCGGAGGGCUGAGGUGGCCCCUAUAUAUAAGAGCGGUAAAAAGGAAGAACCUCUGAACUACAGACCAGUAUCAUUGACCUGUGUAGUUUGUGAAAUAUGCGAGAAAGUGAUAAAGACAAUGGACAAAAUUUCUAGAACAUUAUAUAAUUACAGAAAAACAGUAUGGCCUUAGAAAAGGGUGCUCAUGUGUAACAAACUUACUGAGCUUUUACUCAAGAGUGACAGACAUAAUACAAGAGAGGAACGGAUGGGUAAAUUGCGUGUACUUGGACCUGAAGAAGGCUUUUGACAAAGUUCCACAUACAAGACUACUAUGGAAGCUGGAAAAUAAAGGAGGUUUGAAAGGGAAAAUGAAAAACUGGAUGGAAAUUUACUUAACCCGUACAGUGUUUAGUACGUACAUAUACGUACCUCUUAGGGAAGUGUUUAGUACGUAUAUAUACGCAAGCUCUUUUGAGGGCUUAUACGCCCUUUGUUUUUGUUUGUGUAUAUAACAUUGUUCAUUGACAGUAAAGAGGAAUAAUUUGACAAGUCUUCGUAUUUUUAAAUGGAUGUUAAAGGGCCUUUCUGUACAUUUGUCUGCAUUCCAACAAAAAUCUUCAUACAAGAAGGUAAGUUACUUUCUUCUAGGUAAUACUCCUUGAUUCUAUAAUCAGUAAGGUAUGUGGAAUUGUAAAUAAUGGUUCAGAGUAAUCGGAAAUGAAAACUUAUCGUCGGAAGCUUCAUAGUGUUUUGUCGAACUUUGUGGAAUAUGGUUGUAGUACAGACGGCCUUGAAGCGAGCGGUGUUGCCUGAUGCGCAUCCAAUCAUUUUCUUGUACUUACAAUUCCUGUUUAUUUUUUUUAUUUUUUUAUUUUUUUAAAUAAAACAAACAAUCUAGGGUUCCAUUCCUUGCAUAGAAAUAAUAUAUAU